rnacentral:rRNA from 1 species
GGACCCGCACAAGCAGCGGAGCAUGUGGUUUAAUUCGAAGCAACGCGAAGAACCUUACCAGGGCUUGACAUGCCCCUGACCGCUCUAGAGAUAGGGCCUUCCCUUCGGGGACAGGGGACACAGGUGGUGCAUGGUUGUCGUCAGCUCGUGUCGUGAGAUGUUGGGUUAAGUCCCGUAACGAGCGCAACCCUUGUCUUUAGUUGCUAACAAGUUAAGUUGAGCACUCUAGAGAGACUGCCGAUGACAAAUCGGAGGAAGGUGGGG